AUGAAUGGACUCGAGCACCCGCGCAAUGGCCGGACCGCCUACCACUUCCAGCCGGCCAAGUUCUGGCAGAAUGAUCCCAACGGGCCACUGUACCACAACGGCAUGUACCACUUCUUCUACCAGUACAACCCCAAGGGCGCCACCUGGGGCGACGGCACGCUCUCAUGGGGCCACUCCGUCUCCGGCGACCUCGUGAACUGGGCCGACGUCGGCAAUGCGCUCGACCCCACCUCCCCGUUCGACGCCAACGGCUGCUGGUCGGGCUCCGCCACCGUGCUCCCAGGCGGCCGCCCGGCCAUCCUCUACACCGGCAUCGACGCCAACCGGGUGCAGGUACAGAACGUGGCCUUCGCCAAGAACCCCGCCGACCCGCUCCUCCGCGAGUGGGAGAAGCCCGACUGCAACCCGGUCAUGCCCAUGCCGGCGGACGUCACCGGCAACAACUUCCGCGACCCCACUGAGGCGUGGCGCGGCCGCGACGGCCUGUGGAGGGUCGGCGUCGUCGCGGAGGUCGGCGGCGUGGGGUCCCUGCUCGUGUACCGGAGCGCGGACUUCCUCCGCUGGGAGCGCAACGCCGCGCCUCUGCACGCCAGCUCGCGGGACGUGCCCGUGCUGGAGUGCCCGGACCUGUUCCCCAUGGCGCCGCCCGGCGCGGCGGAGGGGCUCGAGGUGUCGGCGAGCGGCGCCGGGGUGUUGCACGUGCUGAAGCUCACGGACUUCGCCAAGGAGGACCACUACAUGGUCGGCCGGUACGACGACGAGGCGGACACCUUCGUGCCGGCGGAGCCCGAGCGCGGCGACGAUCCCGGCAACUGGCGCCGGCUCGACCACGGCCACCUGUACGCGUCCAAGUCCUUCUACGACGCCCGCAACAAGCGGCGCGUGCUGUGGGCGUGGGUGGACGAGAACGACGGCGGCGGCGUCGCCAGGGUGUGCCGAACGGCGGAGGCGAUAUGUAGCUCGGUUGCGCCGGACGUCGCGACGCAUGAAGCUUCGAUUGCAGGGUGUGCUGGUGCAUUGCUGCAUGCGCGAUUGAGUUGA
rnacentral:rRNA from 1 species